UGAUCAUUACUCAUAUUCAGAAACAAUACUGUGGAUUUUGUAAUAUUUAACUUAAAAUUUGAAAUAUUGGAAUAUCUAUCAAUUUCAUACAUUAGGAAACGUAAAGAAGCCUCUGGAGAUGAGAGAGUAACUAACGCGUCAUCCGCGUAUAAUGAUAUUUUAAUAUCCGCAAAUUUCGUAUGUAUACCUUUAAUCAAUGGAUUAUUCCUAAUAUUUAUGGCCAAAGGCUCAAGAGAUAAAAUAUAAAGCAAAGGGGAAAGAGGACACCCUUGACGAG